GAGAGAGAGAGAGAAAGAGAGAACAAAAAGGAGGACAAAAGCAAAUCAGCAAAACAACAUCAAAACAGCAGCAGCAUGCAUUUCUCUGGAUCAAUAAAUAAAUUGUAUUUUGAUUCUUAAAAGUUGUUGAAUGGAAUUGUACAAGUCUAUCAGAUACCAUUUCAAAGACACUUUCCUGUGAGCAUUACCCCAACACAAAGGCUUGCAUAACAAGUUUUAGUUGAAACAAGUAUUAAUCAAGGGUUGCCACUAUUUACGUGGUAAAGUGGGGCAUGGGAAUGAAAACUCCCUAAAUAAAAUUGGAAGGUUAAUAGGGUUAGCCCCUUUCUUUAGCACAACCAUUGGAUUGACGAAAAACACAAGAACUCAGGGUUAAUAAUCAUACCAAAUGAGAUUUUUGGAACAAGGUAAAAAUCCAGGUAACUACUUUGCCAACAAUACUAAAUUUUCACCAUCACAGAAAGCUCACAAAAUCCUAAUUAAUAAGAUAACUACUCUGUCAUACAGUACUAUCUGUUUUUUCAAAGCUAGCAACCAUGAAUUUAAACAAAUGAUAAGAUAUUAAAGACAAACCUUAUUUCGGUCACGCCAACCAA
rnacentral:misc_RNA from 1 species